ACUGUCGACCCCGCCCCGCGCACGCCGUCAGAAACUCAGUAUCGAGCGUACGCCCGUCUGCAGCGCGUGCAUUGUUAACAUUGAAAAUGACAGAAAUAGAAGACUUGAUUUCGGAGGUGGAGAAAAAUCCAUGUCUAUGGAACGUCGGUUGUAGUAAUUAUCAAAAUAAAACGCAAAGGGACUUGGCCCGGGAAGAGAUAUGCAAAAGAAUCAUCCCACAUUGGAAUGAUUUGAACAUGGAAGAUAAAAAGCAAAUUAGGGAAUAUAAAAAGAAACAAUGGAAUAACGUCAGAGACGGUUACCGAAAAUAUUUGAACAGAAACAAAAAUACGCCCGUGCCAAAGAAGAAAUUCAUUUACGAGAAUGACCUUUAUUUUUUGUUACCGGUUUUACAAAACAGCAAAUCUCGCGAACGGAACAUGCCAUCGGAAUUACACGAAGAUAGUUACGAAGACAACGAAACUAUUGAAAUUGAAGUGAGACCACAAACGGAAGACGAGGAUGACGAAGACGAGAGGAAACCGUUCAGAAAAUACGCAACUUCAGAAAGACAGACUAAAGCUCAACAGAAAUAUACGCCCGACGAAAUACCUUAUCAAAUUCUAAACAUAACAAAACAGAAUACGGACGAUGAAGUCAGCUACCAAGAUGUGGAUUCUCAAUUCCUGCUGAGCUUCCGAGACGACAUGAAUGCGAUGUCGAGAUCUCAGAAACUGAAAUUCAAAUUAGGCAUGAUCCAAUUAAUACAACACGUAACCGAAGAUCGGGUCAGUGACCCCUUCGGUGAGUGUUGAGACAUCUAACGAUCCUUUAUUAGGCAAAAACACACCAAAUACUCUACCAAAACUGCAAUUAAGAGCACUAUAUAAGGCUCUAUCAUAUCGCGCAGUUUAAAUUUGGAUUUAAUAAAAACAAUUUAAUGCUUUUUUUAUUCUUUUAUUGCUAAAAUGGAUGGACGAGCUCACGUUCAUCUUGAAGAUAGGUGGUAACUGGAGCCCAUAGACAUCAACAACGUAAGUGCCGCCACCCACUGAGACAUGAGUUGUAAGUUUCAGUUUUUAGUAAAACGGCCGUUCCAUCCUUCAAGCCGAAUUACUGCUUCACGGCAGAAAUAGGCAGGAUGGUGGCGCCUACCCGUGCGGACUCACAAGACGUCCUACCGCCAGUAACGCGUACAGGUUUGAUAAUUUUAUAAAUCGCACUUUAGUAUAGGCUGAUAACGUCCACUUUGGGUUGGCAAUUUGGGAUUCAGAGAUUUUCACACUGACAGGCGCUUGGUGUGGGGAGCCUGAGUUGUCAAUGACAUUAAGUGUUGUAUGUUUUGUAUACAUGCAAUAACUAAGACUAGAGGUCCCGCAGUAGUUGAAAUUCGACUAUAAUUAAUUAGAAUUGUAAGUUUGUACACUAUUAUGAUUGUAUUUUAUACUUCUAUAAUCACAAAUUUCGCCAAGACUACACUAUAAAAAUAUUAACAAAGACAAACAAUAUUUAAUCUAUUCUUAAUUUGACAACAGACGUCAAAAACCAAAGUUUGACAAUAAAUAGUAUCCAUGCGUGUGUGCGUCAAAUACAUGGUCAGUGAUGUGUGUGUAAUCUUUUCUUUAUUGAUUUAAUUUAUCUUUUAUGCAUUAUUUAAAAAAAUAUUAGCAUUGUGCACUUCUUCUCUAUAUUCUCUAUAAGUGUGGAAAAUUUCAUACUCCUCCGUCCCCGCAAUUUUCGUAAAAAGGGAUACAAAGUUUUUGCUUCACGUAUUAAUUUAGAGAUGCUUGUGAUUAAAGAUUCAUGACUGAUCUUACUUACUUAUUUAUCUCGGCGACCCGAAGUGUAUCCUUCCAUUCUCCAUUCUACACUUGCCGGUUAUUGACCUCAACUUCGCGAUUUGCCUGCACUGCAUCAUACCAAUAAACUUAUAAGACCAAGUUUAGUUUUUUCAUUCAAAUUACUACAAAACCUACUAUCUGCAUAUACAUCAAUUUAAUCAAUCACUUUAAAUUAUGGUUAUCUUUACUACGGAACCCGUCACUGUACAUUGCGAUGUUGUUCCAUCGUCAUAAAAGACAUAUAUAAUAAGAGAUUAGGUAAGUGCUUCGAUUAAAAAAUUUGUAACAUAAAAAUUAAUAAUCAAAAAACGCAAAAGUAUUUAUUGAAAGGUUACCUUAAGUCGGAGCGGCCACAGACGACAACGACCCAAGAAUUUCGAAAAAGAAAUAAUAAUGAUUGUUCGUACUAAUCUAAAUUUUAUACAUUUAUUAUAAAGUGUACACAAAAUUUUUAGCUUACGAAUAUGAAUCGAUCCAAAUUCAAUAUUUUUUAAACCGUUUACAUACCAACGUAUUAUUUUAUUGAUUAAGUUUUAUAUCUAUAUGGAGAUUGUAAUUUUUUUGGUUGAAUAUACACAUACACUAAUUUAACUAUUAAAUAUAAGAUUUUCGCUCGCAACUCUGUCUGUGUAGACUACUCUUUACAUCGCAUAGACCGGAAACUCGCAGUCAGAAAUAGAAUGCGAAGUAGCCUGUAUUAUUUCCUUCGGUUCAAACUAUUUACAUGCCGAAUUGCGUCAAAAUUGCGUAAUUACUAGUGGUAGGACCUCUUGUGAGUCCGCGCGGGUAGGUACCACCGCCCUGCCUAUUUCUGCCGUAAAGCAGUGAUGCGUUUCGGUAUGAAGGGUGGGGCAGCCGUUGCAACUAUACUGAGACCUUAGAACUUAUAUCUCAAGGUGGGUGGCGCAUUUGCGUUGUGGAUGUCUAUGGGCUCCAGUAACCGCUUAACACCAGGUGGGCUGUGAGCUCGUCCACCCAUUUAAGCAAUAAAAAAAUAUAUGUUUAGUGAUUUGAGAGUGAAAAAGCUACAAAUACAUAGAAUUGAUUAAAAUUUCGUAUAUAACAAUAUUAUUUGAUAAAUAGCUUCUAACGUGUAAGAGAACAAAUCUUCAAAUGAGGAUAGCUUCCGAUUUUAAUUCAUCAUCGCUCCUAUAAACGGAUCCUCAGGGUGGCGGCGACAAUUGAGACAAUUUACAUCCACACGAAAUAAUAUAUUCUCUUUAGUACACGUUACGGUGGGUAGAAUACGAAUGCAACAGAGAUAUGCUAACCGUCGGUAUUUAUACAAUCAUCUUGACCUAUUUUAAUACAAACUGAGUAAUAUUAAACAUUGUUCAUCUUAAUUAUUCUGCUGAUUAUUUACGUACAAUUAUUAUUUAAUAAUAUCGAAUUAUGUAACAAAUAACUUUAAGGCUUAUUGCGCCGGAAGCUGUCAAGCGGAAGGCGCCAAUAAAAUAUUAUAAGUAUAAAGAAAUAUGAAUGAACUAUUUACUUGAUUAUGAAAUUACUAAUUAUAUUAUAAGAAUAAUAAGUUCUAUAUAUUUCCUAAGUUCGUAAAUAAUUUAUUAUGUGAGGCCGGAAGUGUUGCUCGAUAACACUCCAUAUUCAUUUGUUCCUACCUGUGAAUCUACAUGAAAUUCCGCUAACUAGUUCUCAGGUGUGCUUAGUGCGAGUUUUUUAACGUGCUCGAUAGCGUAGAAGUUAGUCAUUUAAUUUGUAUGGAAUGGAAUCGUUCGCGUACGUUUGCCGCUAGGGGCGCUGUUCCAACUGCAUACAAAAUUGGGUUUACUUUUACGCUAUCGAGGACGUUAAGAAUCUCGCACUAAGCACACUGAUGAAUGUGCGCGAACAAAAUAGCAGACAAACAGAAAGUAACUGCGAUAAAAAUUACAAUUACAACUCAAUUUGCUUCUCAAUAUUAUUCUUUAAAUAAACCCAUUAUUUUUUAUUUAUUUUUCUAGAAUGUGCAGAGACACUGUAUUAUCUUGUUGUAUUAUUUGUAACAUCUGAAGCAUAAAAUUCAAAUUGAACUCACACGCACGCGCCUCUUUCUAAAUUAUGCCUUUGUUCAGUUUUCAAAGUAAUUUUUUCACUCGCGGAGUCUCCGAUAUGACCUUUAAUGACACCUAAGAUACAAUGAAGCAUCGGAUUGUGUCUGCAAACUUAUGGAUGACACAGAAACGCUUAACAAAAAUCAUCUUUCAUAACAUUAUUCUAAGAGGAAGUAAUUCAUAUCAUUAGUAGGAUAAAGGUCGAGAAUAAUUUAUGGAAAAAUCGCGUUAACACGAAUAAUAAAGAAAAAUAUUCUGGAAAUUCAAUCCUACGUUGCUAUUGUAGAAAGAUUUAUGGUGUAGAUUAAAUGUAGAUUUAUUGUGAAAUACGAGCAUAUUACUUGUUUCUGUUUGAAAGUAUUGGUUAAAUCGAAACUGCUUUUCACAAUAAACAAAGGUAUGUCUUUAAUGUAUUGUCAAAACUAUUUCAUCACUUCAUUUAUGUAGCUAUUAAGUUAAUAAGCUAUUAAGAUUGACUACCACAAAGUCCAAUUAAAGAGUAAAGAUAGUGAGUAACCUGAAGAAAUAUUUUAUCAACGAAAUAUAACAGCGUCGAAAUGAAAAGUAUAAGAUAUACAAAGCUUUAUAUACAUAAUAAAAUAAAAUGAUAAAUUAAAAAAAUAAUAAACCACGACAAAAUGAAAAAUUAAUAUUUCCAAUACUCAUACCAAUACUAAAGUUGCUCAAUUUGUUAACUACUGUUAAUUUUGUUGAAAUACAACUAAUUUAUAGUAAAAUGUUAAAAAAUUUAUUAUAAUCAAAUAUUUACAAGUCUUAAACACCACUUCAUUCGAUUGGAAUUAGUUGAAAAUAAAUAAAUAAACAAAGCCGCAAACUCACACAACAAUAACAUAAUAAUAUUAUAGUAACAAAAUGAAUAUUCUAGAUAUGCGAGUAUGCUACUAACAAGUAAGCCGGAUGUCAAAUGUUAUACUGUCAGAAUGUCGGAAGACUCAUUCCCCAUACAUUUUGAGCAAGUCCCGCCUCCCCGCGCAACCCGUCCGUCAGAAAUUCAGUGUCGAACGGACGCCCGCGUGCAGCGCGCGCUGUUAUCAUAGUGAAAAUGACUGAAAUAGAAGAAUUAAUUUCGGAGGUGGAAAGAAAUCCAUGUCUAUGGAACGUCGGUUGUAGUAAUUAUCAAAAUAAAACACAAAGGGACUUGGCCUGGGAAGAUAUAUGCAAAAGAAUCAUUCCACAUUGGAAUGAUUUGAACAUGGAAGAUAGAAAGCAAAUUAGAGAAUAUAAAAAGAAACAGUGGAACAAUGUAAGAGAUGGUUACAGAAAGUACCUAAAUAGAAAUAAAAACACUCCGGUGCCCAAAAAAAAAUUCAUAUACGGGGAUGAUCUACAGUUCUUACUACCCAUCUUGAAAAACAAUAAAUCGUAAGAUAAAUUUAAUUAAAUACUUAUUGUACUUCUCUAUUUCAUUUUCUAAUGUUUUUAUUCGUCGAAAUAUUUCCAGUCGUGAACGCAACCUUCCAUCAGAAUCGCAUGAUGAUAAUGACGAAGAUAAUGAAGCUUUUGAAAUCGAACUAAAACCAUACACUGAAGACAGUUACGAGGAUGACGAAGAAGAGGAAACUAAAUCAUUUCGUAAAUGCAGAACUACUGAGAGGAGGAAUAAAGCUCAACAAAAAUACGAAAAUGACGAAAUACCGUAUCAAAUUUUAAAUAUUACAAAACAGAAAACUGACGACGAAGACAACUACCAAGAUGUGGAUUCACAGUUCUUGCUGAGCUUCCGCGAUUAUAUGAAGGGAAUGACAAGAUCGCAGAAGUUAAAUUUUAAGUUAGGCAUGAUUCAACUUAUACAGCAUGUGACUGAAGAAAAAGUGAGCGAUCCGUUUAGUGAGUGUUGAGGGUAAUUGGUGCCUUAUUUAAUAAAAAUACGUUAAGAAGCGUCAGAGGCUUGCAUUCGACAGCUUGAAAGCUGGUUGUAGCUCAGAAACACUGGGCCACAAGACUGUAUCUGGCGAAAUAAACUUCCAGUAUAUUAAUAAUAAUAAAAUUAUUAUAAAAA